rnacentral:rRNA from 1 species
CGAGAUAAGGCAUCCCCGGGCCGCGAGGCCCCUAAAGGCCCCUCGAAGACGACGAGGUUGAUAGGCCGGGUGUGGAAGCGCUGUAAGGCGUGGAGCUAACCGGUACUAAAUGGCCGUGAGGCUUGACCAUAU